rnacentral:rRNA from 1 species
AUUGAACGCUGGCGGCAGGCCUAACACAUGCAAGUCGAGCGGAUGAAGGGAGCUUGCUCCUGGAUUCAGCGGCGGACGGGUGAGUAAUGCCUAGGAAUCUGCCUGGUAGUGGGGGAUAACGUCCGGAAACGGGCGCUAAUACCGCAUACGUCCUGAGGGAGAAAGUGGGGGAUCUUCGGACCUCACGCUAUCAGAUGAGCCUAGGUCGGAUUAGCUAGUUGGUGGGGUAAAGGCCUACCAAGGCGACGAUCCGUAACUGGUGUGAGAGGAUGAUCAGUCACACUGGAACUGAGACACGGUCCAGACUCCUACGGGAGGCAGCAGUGGGGAAUAUUGGACAGUGGGCGAAAGCCUGAUCCAGCCAUGCCGCGUGUGUGAAGAAGGUCUUCGGAUUGUAAAGCACUUUAAGUUGGGAGGAAGGGCAGUAAGUUAAUACCUUGCUGUUUUGACGUUACCAACAGAAUAAGCACCGGCUAACUUCGUG